rnacentral:rRNA from 1 species
GACUGCUAAUACCGCAUAACGUCUACGGACCAAAGGGGGCUUCGGCUCUCGCCCUUAGAUUAGCCCAAGUGGGAUUAGCUAGUUGGUGAGGUAAUGGCUCACCAAGGCGACGAUCCCUAGCUGGUUUGAGAGGAUGAUCAGCCACACUGGAACUGAGACACGGUCCAGACUCCUACGGGAGGCAGCAGUGGGGAAUAUUGCACAAUGGGCGCAAGCCUGAUGCAGCCAUGCCGCGUGUGUGAAGAAGGCCUUAGGGUUGUAAAGCACUUUCAGUAAGGAGGAAAGGUUAGUAGUUAAUACCUGCUAGCUGUGACGUUACUUACAUAAUAAGCACCGGCUAACUCCGUGCCAGCAGCCGCGGUAAUACGGAGGGUGCGAGCGUUAAUCGGAAUUACUGGGCGUAAAGCGUACGCAGGCGGUUUUGUUAAGCGAGAUGUGAAAGCCCCGGGCUCAACCUGGGGAACUGCAUUUUCAAACUGGCAAACUAGAGUAUGAUAGAGGGUGGUAGAAUUUCAGGUGUAGCGGUUGAAAUUGCG